rnacentral:tRNA from 2 species
GCGAGCGUAGCACAGUGGUAGUGCUCCAGCUUCCCAAGCUGGCCACGGGGGUUCGAUUCCCCUCGCUCGCUCCA